CUGUGCUCAGCUGUCUCCUCGAACGAUACCCAGCUUGGGCAGCGGGCGCCCCCUGGUGGACCUGGAGCCCCAGUCCAGGACUGCACGGAGCUGGGGCCCAGGAGCCAAGGCGCGCGGGGAGUUCCGGUGCUCUAGGACUUGGGAGCAUUCACGGCAGAACCGGGGAAGGAAAGAGCGUGGAGACGCGGGAAGGGGAGAUGGGAGGCCGGAACUGGAUCGGGCAGGGCAUUAAGCGCGGGAACAGAACGUCGGAAGCAGGAAUGGGUUGGAGGCGGUUGGACCGAAGACCUCCUACUCCCGCACCCCAGCCAGCCCCGCGUCUCCACCCGGCAGGUGCGGCUCCUGGACCGCGGAAGACCCCGGAGGCGGAUUCCCAACGAGGCACAGCGAGGGCAGGGUCGGGGAGGUUAGAGUGCUGAGGGUGGGAGGUCUUCGGUCCCACGGCCGAAGCUCGCCUAGUCAUGGCUCUCAGCCUGGAAGUAACGCCAAGAAAUCGCCCGAGACUGGGAAUGCCCAGCGCUCAGCCUGGAUGAUCACCAGCACCAACGUGGCUUUGGCUCGCGGGUUCAAGAGAAAGAUGGGCCCGCCCCUUCCACGACUGAUCCUGUCAGUCUACCGAAGCCCCAUUCCGCUGUCAUCCGCCUCCCACCUCCCUAGCUUCUCCCCAGGCCCCGCCCUCGUACCCAUCCGUUUGCCUCUCAGGCUCUGCCCACUCCUCAGUCCUUCCCACUUUCCUGUCAUUCUCUCGAGGACCGUCCGCUUCCCCAGCAGACUCCCAGGCCCAGCCCACUCCUCAGUUCCCCUACCCCACGGUCAUUCUCCCUAGACUCCGCCCACUUCAUAGUUAUUUGUCUCCCAGCCCUUGCUAACUCCUUAGUCCCUCCCACUUCCCUGUCAUUCUCCCCAGGCCCCGCCCACUUCCCCUGCUGUCCGCUCCAGGCCCUUCCCACGCCACAGUUCCUCCCAAUAUUAUCUCCAGGCCCCGCCCACUUCCCCUGUUAUCAGCCUCCCAGACCCUGCCCACUCCUCAGUCCCUCACACCUCCCUGUCAUUCUCCCAGGCCCCGCCCAUUU
rnacentral:lncRNA from 10 species